CGGACGGGUGAGGAAUACAUCGUAAUCUACUCUGUCGUGGGGGAUAACGUAGGGAAACUUACGCUAAUACCGCAUACGACCUACGGGUGAAAGCAGGGGAUCUUCGGACCUUGCGCGAUUGAAUGAGCCGAUGUCGGAUUAGCUAGUUGGCGGGGUAAAGGCCCACCAAGGCGACGAUCCGUAGCUGGUCUGAGAGGAUGAUCAGCCACACUGGAACUGAGACACGGUCCAGACUCCUACGGGAGGCAGCAGCU
rnacentral:rRNA from 1 species